UACAGAGGUCUCAAGCGUUGUUCGGAUUCAUUGGGCGUAAAGGGUGCGUAGGCGGCGCGGUAAGUCGGGUGUGAAAUCUCGGAGCUUAACUCCGAAACUGCAUUCGAUACUGCCGUGCUUGAGGACUGGAGAGGAGACUGGAAUUUACGGUGUAGCGGUGAAAUGCGUAGAUAUCGUAAGGAAGACCAGUGGCGAAGGCGGCGACCUGGCCAAUCACUGACACUGAAACGCGAAAGCGUGGGGAGCAAACAGG
rnacentral:rRNA from 1 species